AUUGAACGCUGGCGGCAGGCCUAACACAUGCAAGUCGAGCGAGCGGCGGACGGGUGAGUAAUGUAUGGGGACUGCCCGAUAGAGGGGGAUAACUACUGGAAACGGUGGCUAAUACAGCAUAAUGUAGGAUAACCCCUAUGGGAUUAGCUAGUAGGUAGGGUAAUGGCGUACCUAGGCGACGAUCCCGAGCUGGUCUGAGAGGAUGAUCAGCCACAGUGGGACUGGUACACGGCCCAGACUCCUACGGAGGCAGCAGUGGGGAAUAUUGCACAAUGGGCGCAAGCCUGAUGCAGCCAUGCCGCGUGUAUGAAGAAGGCCCUAGGGUUGUAAAGUACUUUCAGUCGGGAGGCGUUACCGACAGAAGAAGCACCGGCUAACUCCGUGCCAGCAGCCGCGGUAAUUC
rnacentral:rRNA from 1 species